AAUAAACGAAUUUUAGAGUUUUUGGAUAAAAUUUUUGACUAUUCGUCUUAUUUAAAUUUUUUUACGAUUAGUGUUUUUAUUGUUAUUAUACGAUAAAUUAUGAAUAGUACUUUACAUGUGACUAAUUUUUUUCAAUUUUUUAAUAAUUUUUUUUAAAUAAGACGGAUGGUCAAACACUCCGUACACAAAACUCAGA
rnacentral:pre_miRNA from 1 species